rnacentral:rRNA from 1 species
GGUUAAGCGACUAAGCGUACACGGUGGAUGCCCUGGCAGUCAGAGGCGAUGAAGGACGUGCUAAUCUGCGAAAAGCGUCGGUAAGGUGAUAUGAACCGUUAUAACCGGCGAUGUCCGAAUGGGGAAACCCAGUGCAAUUCGUUGCACUAUCGUUAACUGAAUACAUAGGUUAACGAGGCGAACCGGGGGAACUGAAACAUCUAAGUACCCCGAGGAAAAGAAAUCAACCGAGAUUCCCCCAGUAGCGGCGAGCGAACGGGGAGCAGCCCAGAGUCUGAAUCAGCUUGUGUGUUAGUGGAACGGUCUGGAAAGUCCGACGGUACAGGGUGAUAGUCCCGUACACCAAAAUGCACAGGUUGUGAACUCGAAGAGUAGGGCGGGACACGUGGUAUCCUGUCUGAAUAUGGGGGGACCAUCCUCCAAGGCUAAAUACUCCUGACUGACCGAUAGUGAACCAGUACCGUGAGGGAAAGGCGAAAAGAACCCCGGCGAGGGGAGUGAAAAAGAACCUGAAACCGUGUACGUACAAGCAGUGGGAGCACCUUCGGGUGUGACUGCGUACCUUUUGUAUAAUGGGUCAGCGACUUAUAUUCUGUAGCAAGGUUAACCGUAUAGGGGAGCCGCAGGGAAACCGAGUCUUAACUGGGCGUUAAGUUGCAGGGUAUAGACCCGAAACCCGGUGAUCUAGCCAUGGGCAGGUUGAAGGUUGGGUAACACUAACUGGAGGACCGAACCGACUAAUGUUGAAAAAUUAGCGGAUGACUUGUGGCUGGGGGUGAAAGGCCAAUCAAACCGGGAGAUAGCUGGUUCUCCCCGAAAGCUAUUUAGGUAGCGCCUCGUGAAUUCAUCUUCGGGGGUAGAGCACUGUUUCGGCUAGGGGGUCAUCCCGACUUACCAACCCGAUGCAAACUACGAAUACCGAAGAAUGUUAUCACGGGAGACACACGGCGGGUGCUAACGUCCGUCGUGAAGAGGGAAACAACCCAGACCGCCAGCUAAGGUCCCAAAGUCAUGGUUAAGUGGGAAACGAUGUGGGAAGGCACAGACAGCCAGGAUGUUGGCUUAGAAGCAGCCAUCAUUUAAAGAAAGCGUAAUAGCUCACUGGUCGAGUCGGCCUGCGCGGAAGAUGUAACGGGGCUAAACCAUGCACCGAAGCUGCGGCAGCGACACUAUGUGUUGUUGGGUAGGGGAGCGUUCUGUAAGCCUGCGAAGGUGUGCUGUGAGGCAUGCUGGAGGUAUCAGAAGUGCGAAUGCUGACAUAAGUAACGAUAAAGCGGGUGAAAAGCCCGCUCGCCGGAAGACCAAGGGUUCCUGUCCAACGUUAAUCGGGGCAGGGUGAGUCGACCCCUAAGGCGAGGCCGAAAGGCGUAGUCGAUGGGAAACAGGUUAAUAUUCCUGUACUUGGUGUUACUGCGAAGGGGGGACGGAGAAGGCUAUGUUAGCCGGGCGACGGUUGUCCCGGUUUAAGCAUGUAGGCUGAUUAUCCAGGCAAAUCCGGAUAAUCAAGGCUGAGGUGUGAUGACGAGGCACUACGGUGCUGAAGUAACAAAUGCCCUGCUUCCAGGAAAGCCUCUAAGCAUCAGGUAACAUCAAAUCGUACCCCAAACCGACACAGGUGGUCAGGUAGAGAAUACCAAGGCGCUUGAGAGAACUCGGGUGAAGGAACUAGGCAAAAUGGUGCCGUAACUUCGGGAGAAGGCACGCUGGUGUGUAGGUGAAGCCCCUGCGGGUGGAGCUGAGACCAGUCGAAGAUACCAGCUGGCUGCAACUGUUUAUUAAAAACACAGCACUGUGCAAACACGAAAGUGGACGUAUACGGUGUGACGCCUGCCCGGUGCCGGAAGGUUAAUUGAUGGGGUUAUCCGUAAGGAGAAGCUCUUGAUCGAAGCCCCGGUAAACGGCGGCCGUAACUAUAACGGUCCUAAGGUAGCGAAAUUCCUUGUCGGGUAAGUUCCGACCUGCACGAAUGGCGUAAUGAUGGCCAGGCUGUCUCCACCCGAGACUCAGUGAAAUUGAACUCGCUGUGAAGAUGCAGUGUACCCGCGGCAAGACGGAAAGACCCCGUGAACCUUUACUAUAGCUUGACACUGAACAUUGAGCCUUGAUGUGUAGGAUAGGUGGGAGGCUUUGAAGCGUGGACGCCAGUCUGCGUGGAGCCAACCUUGAAAUACCACCCUUUAAUGUUUGAUGUUCUAACGUUGGCCCCUUACCGGGGUUGCGGACAGUGUCUGGUGGGUAGUUUGACUGGGGCGGUCUCCUCCCAAAGCGUAACGGAGGAGCACGAAGGUUAGCUAAUCCUGGUCGGACAUCAGGAGGUUAGUGCAAUGGCAUAAGCUAGCUUGACUGCGAGCGUGACGGCGCGAGCAGGUGCGAAAGCAGGUCAUAGUGAUCCGGUGGUUCUGAAUGGAAGGGCCAUCGCUCAACGGAUAAAAGGUACUCCGGGGAUAACAGGCUGAUACCGCCCAAGAGUUCAUAUCGACGGCGGUGUUUGGCACCUCGAUGUCGGCUCAUCACAUCCUGGGGCUGAAGUAGGUCCCAAGGGUAUGGCUGUUCGCCAUUUAAAGUGGUACGCGAGCUGGGUUUAGAACGUCGUGAGACAGUUCGGUCCCUAUCUGCCGUGGGCGCUGGAGAAUUGAGGGGGGCUGCUCCUAGUACGAGAGGACCGGAGUGGACGCAUCACUGGUGUUCGGGUUGUCAUGCCAAUGGCACUGCCCGGUAGCUAAAUGCGGAAGAGAUAAGUGCUGAAAGCAUCUAAGCACGAAACUUGCCCCGAGAUGAGUUCUCCCUGAGACUUUAAGUCUCCUGAAGGAACGUUGAAGACGACGACGUUGAUAGGCCGGGUGUGUAAGCGCAGCGAUGCGUUGAGCUAACCGGUACUAAUGAACCGUGAGGCUUAACCUU